rnacentral:rRNA from 1 species
GAUGAACGCUGACAGAAUGCUUAACACAUGCAAGUCAACUUGAAUUUGGGUUUUUAACUUAGAUUUGGGUGGCGGACGGGUGAGUAACGCGUAAAGAACUUGCCUCACAGCUAGGGACAACAUUUAGAAAUGAAUGCUAAUACCUGAUAUUAUGAUUUUAAGGCAUCUUAGAAUUAUGAAAGCUAUAAGCACUGUGAGAGAGCUUUGCGUCCCAUUAGCUAGUUGGAGAGGUAACAGCUCACCAAGGCGAUGAUGGGUAGCCGGCCUGAGAGGGUGAGCGGCCACAAGGGGACUGAGACACGGCCCUUACUCCUACGGGAGGCAGCAGUGGGGAAUAUUGGACAAUGGACCGAGAGUCUGAUCCAGCAAUUCUGUGUGCACGAUGAAGUUUUUCGGAAUGUAAAGUGCUUUCAGUUGGGAAGAAAAAAAUGACGGUACCAACAGAAGAAGUGACGGCUAAAUACGUGCCAGCAGCCGCGGUAAUACGUAUGUCACGAGCGUUAUCCGGAUUUAUUGGGCGUAAAGCGCGUCUAGGUGGUUAUAUAAGUCUGAUGUGAAAAUGCAGGGCUCAACUCUGUAUUGCGUUGGAAACUGUAUAACUAGAGUACUGGAGAGGUAAGCGGAACUACAAGUGUAGAGGUGAAAUUCGUAGAUAUUUGUAGGAAUGCCGAUGGGGAAGCCAGCUUACUGGACAGAUGCUGACGCUAAAGCGCGAAAGCGUGGGUAGCAAACAGG